rnacentral:lncRNA from 1 species
CGGCCGCGACCCCGACGGCUUUCUACGCGUGGAGCGCGUCGCGGCGCUCGGCCUGCGCUUCGGGCAAGGCGAGGAGGUGGAAAAACUUGUGAAGUGUUUGGAUCCCAAUGACCUGGGGAGAAUCAACUUCAAGGAUUUUUGCCGUGGAGUAUUCGCCAUGAAAGGGUGCGAGGAGCUGCUGAAGGACGUGCUGUCGGUGGAGAGUGCAGGGACCCUGCCAUGUUCUCCAGACAUCCCAGACUGUGUGGAGCAGGUAAGAGUGGCUGCUGCCUCAGUGCCUGCUGCAUGAGGCCACCCUCUGCAUUGGCGCCUGGGCUCAGCUUUAGAAGGUCUGGAAGGACUGGGCCUUCCACUUAUGGUCUUCUGGCAUCAAAGUAAAA